CCUACGGGAGGCUGCAGUGAGGAAUAUUGGUCAAUGGCCGAGAGGCUGAACCAGCCAAGUCGCGUGAGGGAAGAAUGUCCUAUGGAUUGUAAACCUCUUUUGUCAGGGAGCAAAGUCACCCACGUGUGGGUGUUGGAGAGUACCUGAAGAAAAAGCAUCGGCUAACUCCGUGCCAGCAGCCGCGGUAAUACGGAGGAUGCGAGCGUUAUCCGGAAUGACUGGGCGUAAAGGGUGCGUAGGUGGUUUGGCAAGUUGGUAGCGUAAUCCCGGGGCUCAACCUCGGUGCUACUACCAAAACUGUUGAACUUGAGUGCAGGAGGGGUGAAUGGAAUUCCCAGUGUAGCGGUGGAAUGCGUAGAUAUUGGGAAGAACACCAGCGGCGAAGGCGAUUCACUGGACUGUAACUGACACUGAGGCACGAAAGCGUGGGGAGCAAACAGGAUUAGAUACCCUUGUAGUC
rnacentral:rRNA from 1 species